AAAUUCCUAUUCAGGAAAAGGGCAAAGCCACCCUACCUGAAAUCGAGCCUUGGGUCUGUAAAGGUAACGAUACAGAUUAAGCAUAGGCAGAGCGACGUUCAGGCCGUAACGCAAGUGAAGUUAUUGAGCCUCGUUAGAACAACCGAGGGCCGACGGAGUCGAAUAUCCGGAAGGCUACAGUAGAUUUCCGCUAUUGGCGAGGAAAUUGGAGACCUCGGCGGGGUCUGAGUACA
rfam:Desulfosporosinus orientis DSM 765, complete genome.